rnacentral:pre_miRNA from 1 species
UCUUCAUGUCGCGUACUUUCUCACCGAUCAGAGUGACGAGAGAGUGUGUGAAAUGAAGAGA